rnacentral:rRNA from 1 species
GGAAUCUUCCACAAUGGGCGAAAGCCUGAUGGAGCAACGCCGCGUGUGUGAUGAAGGGUUUCGGCUCGUAAAACACUGUUGUAAGAGAAGAAUGACAUUGAGAGUAACUGUUCAUACGUUGACGGUAUUUAACCAGAAAGUCACGGCUAACUACGUGCCAG